AAACAUCCAGAAUACAUUUCCAACAAGAGCACUGGCCAAGUCAGGAUGGGGAGAUGACAUCACUUGGGUACAAACUUAUGAAGAAGGUCUCUUUUAUGCUCAAAAAAGUAAGAAGCCAUUAAUGGUUAUUCAUCACCUGGAGGAUUGUCAAUACUCUCAAGCACUAAAGAAAGUAUUUGCCCAAAAUGAAGAAAUACAAGAAAUGGCUCAGAAUAAGUUCAUCAUGCUAAACCUUAUGCAUGAAACCACUGAUAAGAAUUUAUCACCUGAUGGGCAAUAUGUGCCUAGAAUCAUGUUUGUAGACCCUUCUUUAACAGUUAGAGCUGACAUAGCUGGAAGAUACUCUAACAGAUUGUACACAUAUGAGCCUCGGGAUUUACCCCUAU
rnacentral:lncRNA from 1 species